CAGUAGCCACGGUAAUACGUAGGUCCCGAGCGUUGUCCGGAUUUAUUGGGCGUAAAGCGAGCGCAGGCGGUUAGUAAGUCUGAAGUUAAAGGCAUUGGCUCAACCAAUGUAUGCUUUGGAAACUGUUAGACUUGAGUGCAGAAGGGGAGAGUGGAAUUCCAUGUGUAGCGGUGAAAUGCGUAGAUAUAUGGAGGAACACCGGUGGCGAAAGCGGCUCUCUGGUCUGUCACUGACGCUGAGGCUCGAAAGCGCGGGUAGCGAACAGGAUUAGAUACCCCUGUAGUCCCUGUCUCUUAUACAC
rnacentral:rRNA from 1 species